rnacentral:ncRNA from 1 species
UUUUUCGCCUUGAUGAGGAAAAGUAAUUAAGCGAUUCUAUAAAGAGAACUGAUGAUGGUGGAAUAUCAGUAAGAUAGUUUAAUGAAAGAACACCUCGGAGCUUCUUACCGAAAUUUAAUUAAAGUAGGCUAAGACGGAAGAUAACCCGUUAACGUUUUAUAAAGUGACUAUUUAAAUAAAAUAGUAAACUGGGUGGUACCACGGAUACAAACAGCUAUUCGUCCCUAUG